rnacentral:piRNA from 1 species
UGAGAACAGUGAUCCGGUGGCUGAGAG